UUUUUGGUUAUAAUUAUGCAUUCGAAAAUUGAGACGUUUUUUAGCUAGCUGAUUCCUCAAUAUCAACAAUGUUUUGUGUGUCUCAAUACUACAGUUAAGAUGGAGAAUGACCCCAGAUAGAAAAUCAAACUUCUAAAAUUAGUCGUUCUUCAUUUAUUUUUAAUUUUGCCUUGAUCAGUAGAAAUAAGAAUAUGAUUGUGUGCAUGUUUUUUGCAUCCUGGUUUGUCAAUUUGAUAACCUUCUUUUUGGAGUGGAGCCUUCAUUUUUUAUUUGGUAAUCUCUAGUAUAUGCUUUUUGUUUUCAAUGAUUCUUUAUCUAUGCUGAAAGUGUAUUUUUUUUAAUUUGUUAUUUUUCUCUUUGGUGUUGCAAGCUAGGUAAUCUAUGAACAUGUGAUUCCUUUUGGUUCUAUCUUCCUCUUGUUUGAUCUUUCAUGUUUGGUAUUUUGAUUAUUUUCUGGUUUCUUUACUCCAUUAUGAUUUUAAUUGUUUCAGGUUUCAGGUAAGAUAAGUCUAUUGGUGUGUGGUAGGAGUUGAUAGUUAUAAUUGAAAAGUUGAGCUUUAAAGGUUGUCUUAUCAUUAAUACUGCUUUUUCCAUACAAAUGUUCUAUAUUUGAGUUUUUAAUUGUAUUAUGACAGUGCAAAAGCUAACACAGUAAUGUAAAAUUGGGAGAACUUGAGAAAUUGGAGAUGAGUUCCUUUCUGCUUUGUACAAUAAUGUCAUGAUGGCCGAUCAUAUAUUUUCUAGGCUUUAAUUGCGGCAACCACACUUCUCGAUUCCUUUGCGAUUAGCCGAUUUUGAUCUUAAGGAUAGGGAUUGCGACAUCUUUGGUGUUAGUAUCAAGUUCAAUCGGAUAUAACUUUGAAUGUAAUGUGGGAUGUGAAGGCAUUGGCAGACAUACAUUAUCAUGGAUGUGAAGCCUUUUGGAUAAAAUUUUUAAUUGUAUCGAAAUGUAAUUUUUGUUGAAUUAAGUAGUUGUGCUUAUAUGAUAUGGUGUUCGUAAUAUUUAUUUUUGUGUUUAUCGACAAAUGCUUUAUAGUAUUUAUGAUUCUGCCAAACUUUGUGUAGGAUAUCGAUUUUGGAGUAUACU